CCGGCCCCUCUUUCUUUCUUUUAAAAAUGUUUUUUAUUAGUACAUAGUUGCAGUACGUGAUGUUUACAUUCAUCUUGAAAGUGGGUUCAUUACUGGCCUAAGGAACACUAUUGAUUUUUGUGUUAAACUGGAUCUGUCUCAAGAAUUCCAUGUCCAACCAGCAGAAUCUUAUUGUUCCCCAGGACUGAUUUUGGGACUCUUGGCUCCCACCCCUACUAACUCAGAUUUUUAAAAUCUUUGUGGAAAAAACAGAAAGAGCUCACUCUGGACCAACGGAUCAGUCUUGCUCCGUCUUCUCUGUCUCCAGGAGGAGAAUGGAGCAGCGCCUAACCAUAUCUAGGGUGGCAGGGUAAAGCAAGAAAAGAUUUCUGCAGUCACAUCUCUCUAAUUUCGAUAGAGCUGAUGUGAUGAAUGGAAGCAAGUAAAAGAAAAUUCUUGGAAGAAGAAUAAUACUUGAAUACAACAAAACUAUGGAGUAUCAGAAAGAAGAAAAUGGGACUUAUUUUAUAAGAUGGAUCAUACCUAAGUAUCAUAUAACAUUUAAUUUGACUCUAAAAUGGAAACAGA
ensembl:lncRNA